AGAGUUUGAUACUGGCUCAGGACGAACGCUGGCGGCGUGCCUAAUACAUGCAAGUCGAGCGGACAGAUGGGAGCUUGCUCCCUGAUGUUAGCGGCGGACGGGUGAGUAACACGUGGGUAACCUGCCUGUAAGACUGGGAUAACUCCGGGAAACCGGGGCUGCAUACCGGAUGCUUGUUUGAACCGCAUGGUUCAGACAUAAAAGGUGGCUUCGGCUACCACUUACAGAUGGACCCGCGGCGCAUUAGCUAGUUGGUGAGGUAACGGCUCACCAAGGCGACGAUGCGUAGCCGACCUGAGAGGGUGAUCGGCCACACUGGGACUGAGACACGGCCCAGACUCCUACGGGAGGCAGCAGUAGGGAAUCUUCCGCANUGGACGAAAGUCUGACGGAGCAACGCCGCGUGAGUGAUGAAGGUUUUCGGAUCGUAAAGCUCUG
rnacentral:rRNA from 1 species